rnacentral:rRNA from 1 species
UACAGAGGGUGCGAGCGUUGUUCGGAAUUAUUGGGCGUAAAGGGCGCGUAGGCGGUGCGGUAAGUCACCUGUGAAAUCUCCUGGCUCAACUGGGAGCUUGCAGGCGAAACUGCCGUGCUGGAGUGUGGGAGAGGUGCGUGGAAUUCCUGGUGUAGCGGUGAAAUGCGUAGAUAUCAGGAGGAACACCGGUGGUGUAGACGGCUCUCUGGACCGUAACUGACGCUGAGACACGAAAGCGUGGGUAGCAAACAGG